rnacentral:tRNA from 1 species
GGGCCCGUAGCUCAGUUGGUAGAGCAAUUGACUUUUAAUCAAUGGGUCACUGGUUCGAACCCAGUCGGGCUCACCA